UACGAAGGGGGCUAGCGUUGCCCGGAAUCACUGGGCGUAAAGCGCACGUAGGCGGAUUGCUAAGUCAGGGGUGAAAUCCUGGAGCUCAACUCCAGAACUGCCCUUGAUACUGAAGAUCUUGAGUUCGGGAGAGGUGAGUGGAACUGCGAGUGUAGAGGUGAAAUUCGUAGAUAUUCGCAAGAACACCAGUGGCGAAGGCGGCUCACUGGCCCGAUACUGACGCUGAGGCACGAAAGCGUGGGGAGCAAACAGG
rnacentral:rRNA from 1 species